rnacentral:rRNA from 1 species
UGCGUAGGGUGCGAGCGUUAAUCGGAAUUACUGGGCGUAAAGCGUGCGCAGGCGGUCUUUUAAGUCAGAUGUGAAAUCCCCGGGCUUAACCUGGGAACUGCGUUUGAAACUGGAAGGCUAGAGUGUGGCAGAGGGGGGUGGAAUUCCACGGUGUAGCAGUGAAAUGCGUAGAGAUGUGGAGGAACACCGAUGGCGAAGGCAGCCCCCUGGGUUAACACUGACGCUCGAGGCACGAAAGCGUGGGGAGCAAACAGG